GCAAUACUUUGAGAGUGGCGAACGGGUGAGUAAUGCAUCGGAACAUGCCCAACUGUGGGGGAUAACGUAGCGAAAGUUACGCUAAUACCGCAUUCUAUCUACGGAUGAAAGCGGGGGACCGUAAGGCCUCGCGCAGUUGGAGUGGCUGAUGUCAGAUUAGCUAGUUGGUAGGGUAAAAGCCUACCAAGGCAACGAUCUGUAGCUGGUCUGAGAGGAUGACCAGCCACACUGGGACUGAGACACGGCCCAGACUCCUACGGGAGGCAGCAGUGGGGAAUUUUGGACAAUGGACGAAAGUCUGAUCCAGCAAUGCCGCGUGCAGGACGAAGGCCUUCGGGUUGUAAACUGCUUUUGUACGGAUCGAAAAAGUUCUUUUUAAUAAAGAGGGCUUAUG
rnacentral:rRNA from 1 species